rnacentral:lncRNA from 1 species
UUCGGUCAGCCCUACCCAACUCCACUUGCUCAGUCUCUGCUUGCUCCACCCCCAAGAUUUAUUUAUUAUUUAUUAUUAUACAUAGGUACAAUGUAGUUGACUUCAGAAGAGGGCAUCAGAUCUCAUUACAGGUGAUUGUGAGCCACCAUGUGGUUGCUAAGAUUUGAACUCAGGACCUUUGGAAGAACAGUCAGUGCUCUUACCUGCUGAGCCAUCUUGCCAGCCCUAGUAACUUAAAAUACCAUUUUGAAAAAUUUAUUUCUUGGGAGGGCAUUUAUGCCUUGAUGCAUGCAUGGCAAAAGACAGCUUUUUGGUUUUCUCCUAUGUGCCUCCUGGGCAUUAAACUACAGUUGUUGGGCUUGGUGGCAAGAACCUUUACCUGCUGAGCCGUGGUCAAUCUCUUUUUCUCUCUCUCCUCUUAUUGGAGAUUGAACCUAGGUUCUUGUUAAACAAGUGCACUACUGCUGAGCUACAUCCCCAGCUCCUAAACAUUAUUAAAUGAAGUGGUAAGAAAAAUUCCAUUUCGCCAGUCAGUGGUGGCACAUGCCUUUAAUCUGUGCACUUGGGAGGCAGAGGCAGGUGGAUUUCUGAGUUCGAGGCCAGCCUGGUCUACAGAGUGAGUUCCAGGACAGCCAGGGCUAUACAGAGAAACCCUGUCUCGAAAAACCAAAAGGAAAAAAAAAAAGAAAAAUUCCAUUUCUAUUAGCAGACACAAUGCAUUCAAGAAAUUAGAAGAAGAAAAAAAAAAAAAAAAAAACCCAAACAACCCAUCCCUCUAGCUGGGCCCUAUGGCUUUUGGGAGGAUACAUCUAUAAUAUAACAGCAAACGGUAGGAGUAAAAGAUGAAAAAGGAUACUGGGGAAGUCUGAGCAUACGAAGACUGCUGAGCUAUGGCCUGGCUCACUAGUGAUGUCAUCUGGUGCACACUUCAAGGUGAAGCAAUGGGUUUGGAAUAAGGGUGAUACAGACUGAUCCAGAAACAGGUUACCUGUACUUGACUUCCUCUGUCCCAACCUCUCAACCAAAGGACAGCCAUCAAAACAGAGUCCCAGCAAACCUCUGAGGAUGACAGUGAUAGAUAGUGGGGAGACUCUGUAUUCUGUGACAGUGAGUGAUAGUGGGGAGGUUGUAUUCUGGUUUGGCUUUGUUCUGAAAUAGUGCCUACUGUGCUCAAACUGUUAACUUGUAUGCCCAACUGAUCUUUUAUCAGUAUCUUGAGUAGCUGAGACUGCAGACAUCUCCUUCGGCUAUCUUUUUGAAGCUUAAUAGCAGUUCUUUAUUCUCCGUUGCUGUGGGAUGAUUAAUGUAUAAAAAGUAAAAGUUUAGCACUCAGGCAGCAGAGGCAGGAUGGACUUUGGUUGGAGAUGCGGAAAUUAAAGAUCCAGAUAGCAACAGUUUCCAAGUAGUUUAUGAUGCAAUGAAAGAAAUUACCUGAAAAUUAGAAAGCACUCUCUGCAGGUAGUGGUGGCGCACGCCUUUGAUCGCAGCACUCAGGAGGCAGAGGCAGGCUGAUCUCUGAGGCCAUCGUGGUCCACUGAGCAAGUUCCAGAACAGCCAGAGCUACACAGAGAAACCUUAAUCUAGAAAAAACAAUAAAAAAAAGAAAGUACUUACAACUUAUGGGUCCCAAGAGACCCAUAUACUUGUAAGUCCUUGAGGUAAGAUUGUAAUUUGAAAGUCUGAAAUAGGGAGUCCUGGGAAAGUAGAAGGGAGGAAAU